rnacentral:rRNA from 1 species
AUACGGAGGGUUCAAGCGUUAAUCGGAAUUACUGGGCGUAAAGCGCGCGUAGGCGGAUAUUUAAGUCUCAUGUGAAAGCCCUGGGCUCAACCUGGGAACUGCAUGGGAUACUGGGUAUCUAGAAUACAGUAGAGGGUAGUGGAAUUUCAGGUGUAGCGGUGAAAUGCGUAGAGAUCUGAAGGAACAUCAGUGGCGAAGGCGAAUACCUGGACUGAUAUUGACGCUGAGGUGCGAAAGCGUGGGGAGCAAACGGGAUUAGAAACCCCAGUAGUCC